rnacentral:rRNA from 1 species
UGAAUUUAAGCAUAUCAGUAAGCGGUGGAAAAGAAACUAACUAGUAUUCCUUUAGUAACGGCGAGUGAAAAAGGAUUAGCCCAACACCGAAUCCUUUGACAUUUUAUGUCUUGGGAGUUGUAGUGUUUGCAUGUUUACUUAGUAAAAUUAAUGCUUCUCAAGUCCAUUUGAACAUGGCGAUGUUUCCAUCGGGGGUGAAAGGCCCGUGUGAGUUGAUUAAUUUGCUUUGUAGAUAUGUUUGAGUCGGUUUGCUUGAUAUUGCAGACUAAAGUGGGUGGUAGAUUCCAUCUAAGGCUAAAUAUACGAACGAAUCCGAUAGUAAACAAGUACCGUGAGGGAAAGUUGAAAAGAACUUUGAAAAGAGAGUUCAAUAGUACGUGAAGCUGCUUGUAUGUGAUGGAAUAGAUCCGAAAUGAUGCAUGUCAAUAAACCGGUGAUGUUUGGCUUUGCCUCAAUGUAGAGCGUCGGACUAAUCUGGUGGAUUUGUGUGUGUCGGACAGAUGAUACUAUAAUUAUGAAUUUAAUCUUUGUUGGAAGCCUUUUGGUGGAAUCAUUGAUGAGUUUUCGUAGUUUUAGUAAAUGUGAAUUAAAGUGUGUUACUAAUAGACUUUUGUUACAAUGUGCUUAUUGGCUAAAAGUUUCACACUUAUUUUGCGUCAAUCUGUCUAUACGUAGGCAUCUAUCCUACCCGUCUUGAAACACGGACCAAGGAGUUUAAUAUCUACGCGAGUUAUUGGACUAUAAAUCCAAAAGCGCAGUGAAGGCACGUAGCUUUGAACCUGUCAAACAACGGGUACAUUAGCAGGUCGUCUUAAAUGUUUACAUUUGGGCGAAUCAAGAGCGUAGAUAUUAAGACCCGAAAGAUGGUGAACUAUGCUUGUGCAGAUUGAAGCCAGAGGAAACUCUGGUGGAGGAUCAAAGCGGUUCUGACGUGCAAAUCGAUCGUCAGACAUGAGUAUAGGGGCGAAAGACUAAUCGAACCAUCUAGUAGCUGGUUCCCUCCGAAGUUUCCCUCAGGAUAGCAGACAUUAGCCACAGUUUUUUUCGGUAAAGCUAAUGAUUAGAGGGAUCGGGAAUAAAAUGUUCUCAACCUAUUCUCAAACUUUAAAUGGAAGAGAAGCAGGGCUCACUUAAGUGGAGUCAUACAUGAAAUGGUAAUGUUUAGUGGGCCAUUUUUGGUAAGCAGAACUGGCGCUGUGGGAUGAACCAAAAGUUGAUUUAGAUCGUCUAAGAUAGACGCUCAUGAGAUACCACAAAAGGUGUUGGUUGGUAUAGACAGCAGGACGGUGGCCACGGAAGUCGGCAUCCGCUAAGGAGUGUGUAACAACUCACCUGCCGAAUCAACCAGCCCUGAAAAUUGAUGACGCUGAAGCGUUGUUGAUUAUAAUCAACUUGUACGGCAGACAUAUAUGAUGUCCUACAAAGUAGGAGGGUCAAUGUAAUGGCUAUGAAGUUGUGAUCAUGAGAUCAGGUGGAGCCGUUACAUGCGCAGAUCUUGGUAGCAGUAGCAAAUAUUCAAGUGAGAACCUUGAAGACUGAAGCGGAGAAGGGUUUCAUGUGAACAGUAGUUGCACAUGAGUCAGGCGGUCCUUAGCUGAUAUCAAUGCAAAAUGCAUUAGCAGUGAUUUUUUCUGGUGGAUAGCUGCUGUCAGCGAAAGGGAAUCGGGUUAAUAUUCCCGACCUUGCGAGUGGAGAUUUGCCUCAUUAGAGGUGGAUAAGUGGUAACACAAACAAAAUUGGAGACACUGGCGUAUGUUCCCGGAAGAGUUAUCUUUUCUUUGUUAGGAAUAUUUGUCCCUGGAAUCAGUUUAUCUGGCGAUAGGGAUGAUAAUUCCGUAAAGCAUCGCAUUUCUUGCGAUGUCGGGGUCAUUUAUGUCAGUCCGUGAAAAUCCGAUUGCGUAAUUAUCAAUCUCUCCGCAAACCGUACCUAUAACCGCAUCAGGUCUCCAAGGUGAGCAGCCUCUAGUCGAUAAAACAAUGUAGGUAAGGGAAGUCGGCAAAUUAGAUCCGUAACUUCGGGAAAAGGAUUGGCUCUGAGGGCCGGGUUUAACGGGCUUUAGUCUGAAGGUUGUUGACUGCGUUUGAUGCUGAGAUAUCUUUGUGAGUUUUACUUGCAUUGAAGUUUUAGCUAUUAUAUGUGGUUGAUUUUCUGGCGGCUAAAGGGAGUGAUGGAACAAAUGUUUCAUAGAUCGUUAAAUUUAAUACGGUUAACUCAGAACUGGCACGGACCUGGGGAAUCCGACUGUCUAAUUAAAACAAAGCAUUGCGAUGUUCGGUGAUUGUAUUUGACGCAAUGUGAUUUCUGCUCAGUGGUCUGAAUGUGAAAGUGGAGAAAUUCAGCCAAGCUCGGCUAAACAGCAGGAGUAACUAUGACUCUUUUUUGGUAGCCAAAUGCCUCGUCAUCUAAUUAGUGACGCGCAUGAAUGGAUUAACGAGAUUCCUACUGUCCCUAUUUACUAUUUAGCGAAAUUACAGCCAGGGGAACGGUCCUGGAAACGUUAACGGGGAAAGAAGACCCUGUUGAGCUUGACUCUAGUCCGGUUCUGUAAAGAAACAUGAGAGGUGUAGCAUAAGUGGGAGACUUUUGUCGAAUUUGGAAUACCACUACUUUUAUGGUUUCUUUACUUAUUCAGUGAUGCGGAAGCAAGCUCGGCGUGUAGUCGUGUUUGAAGUAUAUAUAUUGAAAUGUGUAACCACGGGUUGCACAUAAUCUCGAUCUGAAGACAGUGUCAGAUAGGGAGUUUGACUGGGGCGGUACAUCUGUCAAAAGGUAACGCAGGUGUCCAAAGAUAAGCUCAGGCAGAACAGAAAUCUGUCGUGGAUUAUAAGGAAAAAAGCUUAUUUGAUUUUAAUUUUCAGUACAAAUGUAGACCGUGAAAGCGCGGCCUAACGAUCCUUUUGAUAUUUUCCGAAUUCUAAAGCAAGAGGUAUCAGAAAAGUUACCACAGGGAUAACUGGCUUGUGGCAGCCAAGCGACCAUAGCGACGUUGCUUUUUGAUCCUUCGAUGUCGGCUCUUCCUAUCAUUGUGAAGCAGAAUUCACAAAGCGUUGGAUUGUUCACCCACUAACAGGGAACGUGAGCUGGGUUUAGACCGUCGUGAGACAGGUUAGUUUUACCCUACUAACCUUAUAUUGUUGAAACGGUAAUGUCGCAUAGUACGAGAGGAACAGCGAUUUCGGAUCUCUGGUUUUGCGCCUGGUUGAAAAGCCAUGGCGCGAAGCUACCGUCCGAGGGAUUAAGAUUGAACGCCUCUAAGUCAGAAUCA